ACACUUAUCUGGCAGGGGAGAUAUCUUAUCACUAGGUGGUUUUCCCAGGGUAAGGUUUAUUCAGUUCACUCUGGAUGUGCUGACCCCUGAGUUUUCCCCAAAUGUGGAAAGCUCAACUGCAUAGUUUGUGGUAGUGGGGGACUGUGUUCGUACUCCAUGC
rnacentral:snRNA from 1 species